AAACACCAAAACUUGAAUUGAAAAACCUGCGAUAAGUAUAAAAAUGUUGAAUGUUAAAAUUGAUGAAUAAAAUGAGGAAUAUGAAUAAAAUUGUAGUCUCUCGUCGCUUUUUCUCAAUGUAUCACCAAAUUUCUAAAAAAGAAAAAUAAAAAAGAGGUUAUAUAUGUUAUGAUUUUUGGGUCACAAUUGUAAUGUUACAUGUGUUAGGGCCAUUAUGUAAUUAGCUAAAGCAUCGGUGGUCUAAUUAAUAAUAUAUAAGUCUAUGGCUAAUAUUAAUAACGUGAAAACUGCGCUCAGACAAAAAGUUCUCUCUUCAUCCCCAUCAGAGGAGGUUUCAGGAGCCAAUAAAGAAUUCUGCGGUUGGAAGAUCACACAUACACGUGACCUUUGAUCAUCACCUAUGACGAACUCAAACUCAGGUAUGCUUCCGCUUAUGGCUAAAGUAUUUUCUUGAUGAUUAACAUGAUCAACACUAGGGUUUAAAGAAAAUAUAUUGAAAUUCUACAAGUAGUAUCAGAGCGAAUCAUGUUUGAUUAUUGAGAAAAUAACUUUUGUAUGCCAAUUGUUUUUGAUCGGCAUGUAUUCAAUAUCAAUAUACAGUUUCAGUUUCUAUAUUUUUAUUUCGAUUACAAAUUGAAAGACUUGCUCUAUUAUUCAUCGGCGUUCGUGAGAUAAUCAUGAUUUUGUUUUAAGGUUUG
rnacentral:lncRNA from 1 species